rnacentral:rRNA from 1 species
AUUGAACGCUGGCGGCAGGCUUAACACAUGCAAGUCGAGCGGGGGAAGGUAGCUUGCUACCGGACCUAGCGGCGGACGGGUGAGUAAUGCUUAGGAAUCUGCCUAUUAGUGGGGGACAACAUCUCGAAAGGGAUGCUAAUACCGCAUGCGUCCUACGGGAGAAAGCAGGGGAUCUUCGGACCUUGCGCUAAUAGAUGAGCCUAAGUCGGAUUAGCUAGUUGGUGGGGUAAAGGCCUACCAAGGCGACGAUCUGUAGCGGGUCUGAGAGGACGAUCCGCCACACUGGGACUGAGACACGGCCCAGACUCCUACGGGAGGCAGCAGUGGGGAAUAUUGGACAAUGGGGGGAACCCUGAUCCAGCCAUGCCGCGUGUGUGAAGAAGGCCUUAUGGUUGUAAAGCACUUUAAGCGAGGAGGAGGCUACUUUAGUUAAUACCUAGAGAUAGUGGACGUUACUCGCAGAAUAAGCACCGGCUAACUCUGUGCCAGCAGCCGCCGUAA